rnacentral:misc_RNA from 1 species
GAAAUGCGAUAAGUAGUGUGAAUUGCAGAAUUCAGUGAAUCAUCGAAUCUUUGAACGCACAUUGCGCCCCUCGGCAUUCCGUGGGGCAUGCCUGUUCGAGCGUCAUCUACACCCUCAAGCUCUGCUUGGUGUUGGGCGUCUGUCCCGCCUCCGCGCGCGGACUCGCCCCAAAUGCAUUGGCAGCGGUUCCUUGCCCCCCUCUUUGCGCAGCACAUUGCCAUACGAGGCGGCGGCGGCCCGCGUCCAACAAGCUCAACCCCCCCGUCUUUGACCUCGGAUCAGGUAGGGAUACCCGCUGAACUUAAGC